GGUCUCGCCGACCUAGUAUGUCUGUGCAAUUCCCAAAUAUAAAUCGAACGACCCUUCCAGAACCAAGCUAGGGUUUCGCCUCCCCCCACCCUCCCGCUCUCCCACCUCUCCUCCCGGCCACCGCGCGACCGCCGCGCCGCUCUCGCCGCCGCCGCCGCCGCCAUGGGGACGGAGCGGAAGCGGAAGGUGAGCCUCUUCGACGUGGUCGACGAGACCUCCGUCUCCGCCAAGCUCGGCCGCGGCGCCACUAACGGCGCCGCCGCCGCCGUGGGCGGGGCCAACCCCACCGUCAACCGGUGGAACGGGCGGCCAUACUCGGCGCGGUAUUUUGAGAUCCUCGAGAAGCGACGCACGCUCCCCGUGUGGCAGCAGAAGGAGGAGUUCCUUCGCGCCCUCCGCGACAACCAGGCCCUCAUUCUCGUCGGCGAAACGGGAAGCGGAAAGACCACUCAGAUCCCCCAAUUUGUACUUGAGACUGAAGGCCUGGGUAACCGUUCAAUGGUUGCCUGCACUCAGCCGCGGAGGGUUGCAGCAAUGUCAGUCUCCAGGCGUGUGGCUGAGGAAAUGGAUGUUACUAUUGGGGAGGAAGUGGGAUACAGCAUCCGUUUUGAGGAUUGCAGCAGCCACAAAACUGUUCUCAAGUAUUCUGAUCUAAUCAUGUUGUGUUGAACACUAUUGCUUCCUAUCAGAUAUUUGACAGAUGGUAUGCUUCUGAGAGAAGCAAUGGCAGACCCACUUUUAGAGAAGUACAAGGUGAUUGUUCUUGAUGAGGCUCAUGAGAGAACAUUGGCAACAGAUGUUCUGUUUGGGCUUCUGAAGGAGGUUCUAAAAAAUAGACCGGAUUUGAAGCUUGUCGUUAUGAGUGCUACCCUUGAAGCAGAGAAAUUCCAGGGUUACUUCAGUGGUGCACCAUUGAUGAAGGUACCAGGGAGGCUUCACCCGGUUGAAAUCUUCUAUACUCAAGAACCAGAAAGGGACUACCUAGAGGCUGCUAUCAGGACAGUUGUGCAAAUACACAUGUGUGAACCUGCUGGUGAUAUCCUUGUAUUCCUUACAGGAGAAGAGGAGAUUGAGGAUGCCUGUCGUAAAAUUAACAAGGAAAUUAAUAACAUGGGAGAUCAGGUUGGCCCUGUUAAAGUUGUGCCUUUGUAUUCUACGCUGCCUCCAGCCAUGCAGCAGAAGAUUUUUGAACCUGCUCCUGCCCCGUUGAAGGAAGGAGGCCCUCCUGGGAGAAAAAUUGUUGUGUCCACAAAUAUUGCUGAGACAUCCUUAACUAUAGAUGGUAUAGUUUAUGUGAUAGAUCCAGGGUUUUCCAAGCAGAAAGUUUACAACCCAAGGAUAAGGGUGGAAUCCCUCCUGGUGUCACCAAUUUCCAAGGCAAGUGCUCAUCAGAGAGCUGGUCGUGCUGGAAGAACGCAGCCUGGAAAGUGCUUCAGGCUAUACACUGAGAAGAGUUUUAAUGAGGAUUUGCAACCACAAACCUACCCAGAAAUUCUUAGGUCGAACCUGGCAAAUACAGUUCUUACCUUGAAGAAACUUGGAAUUGAUGAUUUAGUACAUUUUGACUUUAUGGAUCCUCCAGCACCGGAAACUCUUAUGAGGGCUUUAGAAGUUUUGAACUACUUGGGGGCACUUGAUGAUGACGGUAAUCUAACACAGUUAGGUGAAAUGAUGAGCGAGUUUCCCCUGGAUCCACAAAUGUCAAAGAUGCUUGUCAUCAGUCCAAAGUACAACUGUUCGAAUGAGAUCCUAUCAAUAUCUGCCAUGCUUUCAGGUAUGUCAACUUCAGGUCACCAAAUUGUAUUUCUACAAAUGAAUUAUUACGCUUAUCUGGACUGCUUUGCUUUUCAAUGUUGUUCAAGCAAAGUGCCAGUUUUUCUUGUGCACAUAUGGCUGUCAUCAGCAACUGUCAUUCACCUGGCUUCUUGAGCUAUUGGUCGAAAUGAUCAUACAGUUUAGGCUGAUGCAGAUAGUUGCUGUUUGUUGAGUACGUCUCGCCUCUUUGCAUCUGCUGACCACCGUGGACUUCGUCUGUUAUUACUAUAUUCUUUCUCUAGUACCCAAUUGCUUCCUCCGGCCUAGGGAGGCUCAAAAGGCUGCUGAUGAGGCGAAGGCUCGGUUUGGCCAUAUUGAUGGGGACCAUCUCACGCUUCUGAAUGUAUACCACGCAUACAAGCAAAACAAUGAAGAUCCCCAGUGGUGUUACGAGAACUUUAUCAAUGCCAGAGCACUUAAGUCUGCGGACAACGUCAGACAACAGCUUGUUCGCAUCAUGACUAGAUUCAAUCUCAAGAUGUGCAGCACAGACUUCAAUAGCCGUGAGUACUAUGUCAAUAUCAGGAAAGCACUGCUUGCAGGGUAUUUCAUGCAGGUUGCUCACCUGGAGCGCACUGGACAUUACCUGACUGUAAAAGAUAAUCAGGUCGUCCAUCUUCAUCCCUCAAACUGCAUGGACCAUAAGCCAGAGUGGGUCAUCUACAACGAAUACGUCCUGACAACUAGGAAUUUCAUCCGCACAGUCACAGAUAUCCGUGGGGAAUGGCUGAUUGAUAUCGCUCCACACUACUAUGAUCUGAGCAACUUCCCGUCAUGCGAGGCGAAGCGUGUUCUUGAGAGGCUGUAUAACAAGCGGGAGAGGGAAAGGGCCACGAACAGAGGUUGAAGAUGAUGCUUCUUUUUUGCCCGGUGCCAGUGAUUGUGCUGCCAGUUAAGGGCCAGAGCCAGAACUCAAGUGAAGCCUUUGCCGCGUCCACCCUGAUACAUCUUGCCAUCUAGGCCCCCACCAUAAGUAGGCACCACAUUUCAUCAGCUUGGUGAUUAUUUUGUAAGAAUUAUCAAAUGUUUGCUGAUGCAACUGUGUAACAGCGUCGAGGUUAUAUCUUUGUUUUUCUUCUCUUAGAAAGGUAGUGCAGAUUGAUCGGGUAUCUGUCUCCGUAUAAAUGCGGAGAAGACUUUCAUUUUCUUAUUUUUGCCAUUUUGUACCCGGUUUCAAUGAGAACAUGCUGAUAUAUGUUCGUAGUUUUAGCUCUUAUGCAAACAUUUCCUGGUUUUUCCUCUUUUC